GUUUCAACGUAUGAACUGUCUUUAACGCGAUGUAGUGAUCGAUGACUCAUUGGAUUCGAUAAAAAGGAAAGCGACAAAUUAAAAGUUGGAGAAGUCAAUAAACGAACAGUUCGGAGCUAUAUCGACCGACAAAGUAACCGGAGGGUGUACAUCAUCGUUCAGCCAGGUCCGAGCGGCGUCAUACUUUCUCACGAAAUCAUUUUUAACAUUCUCGAAGCGGUGACACCGCGUAAAGGAGAAGGGAGAACAGAGAGAGAGAGAGAGAGAGAGAGGAAGAGAGAAAAAGAGAGAGGAGAAUGGAAUGGGGUAUCUCGGCGAUUUUGAGCAGUACAAACAUCAAUUUCGGUCCUGGGGGCGUGCAACAUGGGACGCAAAAAGAAAAUCUCGAAACGGACGUAGAUCUCUACGUGGGAUCAGGUAUAUCCUGGAACAGGCCAGCAGCUAUCCGUCUCGGUCCCUCUGCAGAAUGUUAGAAGAUAUAUUAUACUCGAAGAGGGUGGUAACACUUGUUUGAUUCAAUUCCAGGAACAAGCUCCGAGGCGCCCGUUCAAUUUUUCUUCCGCCAAGGGAACUCCCGCCUCUUCUACUUGCGUACGCGUAUAUAUGUAUGCUGUCUAUGCAUGUGUGUAUACGCGCGUACACACCGCCGUCCCCAUAGCUCACGACACGGAUUCGAGGUCAUUACAGAAAUGUGAUAAGAAUAUGAUGUUCGCUAUAUAAAUCUCUUGGCAAUUGAUCGACCUUGAUUGCAGGGAAUAACCAUUUUUCUUCGUUGCGUCCGAGGUGCUUCUGGGGUCAAUAGACGGUCGAUGCAACCUGUUGCGAUAAAGUUGUUCCGGCGUUCACAUCGAGUCGAACGAGGACGCCAGUUGAACGAGGUCACAAGGAAUAAAGUUGUCGAGACACAAGCUCAGGAACACGAUUCCUUCGUAUGAUCUCCCACGACUCGAGACAUCUUGCACAGAAGAAGACCAAGGAAAAAAAAGAAGGAAAAAGAAAAAAGAAGAAAAAAGAACAAAAUAAAGAAAAAAGGCAAUCCAAAUAAAAGAAUGAAAAGGAACGGCCACAGAAGCAGAUCAAUGGGUCAACCUGUCGCAAUAAAAAUCUCGUGGCUACCUGAGUAAAGCGAAGUAACGGGGUAGGUGGCAGUUUAACCAUCGUGUUCAGGAUCGUCGGUGGCAUAAUCAGGAUGCUAGAGUAGCGCUACCUGGGUGUCGGUGAUGGCUGGGGCUGAAAGGAGCGCCAUCGAGGAAGGAAGGAAGAGAAGGAACGCGCGUGAUGUCCGCAAGAAAGCGAGGUAAAAGGUGUCGCGGUCGGCCUGCUGCAUGCGGGCACGCGUUAGAAUCCGAUUGUGUCCCGGAAGGGAAGAAGAAGAAGAAGAAGAAGAAGAAGAAGAAGGGCAGGAAAAAAAAGAAGGCAAGUGGAAGAACUGCGGCCUCGGAGACGGAGACGGAAAAAAGGGCAGUGGGUAGGAAAGGAGAAGAAAACGGAACGGGUGGCCGGCCAAACGAACCCUUCCUCCCAACUCGACCAGCCCCGCUGGACUUUAAUUCCUGCUAUUAUUGAAAUACGUGGCCGCCACGUGCCACGGGGCGACUGCUCUUUCCUUCCUACCGUUUCAGCCCACAGCGUCAAGGGAGAGUUCUGCACGCGAAAAUCGGAACGCGCACACACGGUUGGAAUGUGACUUGCCGCUCGAGGUAUACGUAUACCUGAGACCCCCUGGAUGCUCUUCCUCGAGGAUAAACUUUCUUCGUUGCUACUCGUCUUACCGGAUACCGUCUUACAGGCACCAUUGAAUUACGUGUAAACGUUUUCGGUGUGUAGUUGUAAAGAUAUAGAUACAGACUUACGAAAUAUAAUAUAUUUUACGAAUAUAUUAUACGCGUGAUACGAAACAUUUUGAAAUUUCUAAUUUUGAAAAUAAUUUUUGUCAAAUAAAUUAAAGUCUAUGGUAUUCUAAACAAUCCGAGCGUUCGAUAUUACGCGUAUAAUUAUUAUCGUGUAAUCCGUUAAAAUUUUGUAAUAACUGAAUGGAACGGUUGAUAGCGUUCCUGUUGCAAUUCAUUUUUAUGUCAUUGACGCAAUAAAUUUCUAUAGUGGACGGUUCUAAUGUAUGUUAGCAUAUUAGUUGAUUUUUAUACUGACCUAUAAAAUUUGUAUAAUACAGGUAAUUCGAGCUUGAUGGUAUUUUAAACAGUCUCAGUGUUUGGUAUUAAGUACAAUUAUGACCGUGAAAUCGACUAAAAUUAUGUAAUUAUUGUGUUAAACCGUUGCAACGUUGAUACAAAAAACAGGGCAAGUAGAAGAAAACACAGUAAAGUAGAAUGUAAUUGCACAGCUCUGCCGGAACUCGACAAGAUAAUCCAGUUGGUAAACGGCCGAGGUGCAUUAAAGUUUCAACCGCGCUUUCGGCCUAUCCGUCGAUAACGAUAAUAACAAACAUUAUCACGGAAGUUUAUCAAUGCAAACACGCGUCGCCGCAAACACUAGAUUAGAUUCCCUUCACAAGCAAAUUUAACGUUCCUACUGAUAAAAAAAAAGGGAGAGAAACAAGUCGAGAAAAAAAAAAGGAAAAAGGGGAGGAAAGAAAAAAGAAAAUACGAUAAAAAAUCCAGAUAAUGACUCGUUCAGCGAGCACAAAAAAUUCUAUCGUCACGACGGACCUGCUGAUUACUUUAAUCACCGAGAGAAAAAAUUCUCUAAAUGCUUUACAGUAUGCACGAUAUAAUCGCAAUUUAUAGUGUGAACGCACACACGAUCGUUUGUUUGGUUGUGUGCGCCCAUUUAGCGAGUGCAACUGCAGAUCGCUGAUAAACACGAACCUGCCAUAGCUCGGUGUCAUAAUAUUACAGUCAUUAUGGUAACAACGUUUUCCUCGCAGCAUCGUAUGCCCGGAUACUUAUGCAUCGUGAUCUGCCAUCUCGUCUGGUAUAUAAACGGUCGUGAAGAUCAUUGUGCAAGCCAGACAACAGAUUUGCACUGUAACGUUAACUCGCGGCAAUCGAUAGUUCCUUAAUGCCGGUGUCGUACUUACGGUGUGUCAUUCACGAAUAACCACGUUUGUUGUUAUUAAUCAACAUUUAACGCUGUUCUUCGAGUAAAUAAAAAAAAAUAGAUAUUUUUAUAAUUAAUUCAAUUUAA